rnacentral:other from 3 species
GUUGCCCUGCUGUGUGCGUGAUGCUGCGCUCACGGUUUUGAGCCAACAUUUUUAUUAGGGGUCUUUGUCUUACGAAUACGACGCGAUAGGCCUGAGCCAAGGCGAAGUCUCCGAGGCGGGACCCACCUGCGAAAGCAGGUUCAAAACUUUGCAGCACACGGCAUGGUGGGGUUUUU